GAAGAAGAAGAAGAAGAAGUGGAAGAAGAAGAAGAUUAUUUCAAGGAGUAACCAGGAAUUUAAGGUCCCCAAGUCUUUCUCACAUGCCAAACAGUUGUCACAAUCCUGUUCCCUCUUAUUUGCACAAAAAUAGUAGUGAAGGACACACUAAAUUGCUGAACUAGCCAUCCUCCUGAAAGUUUUCUGUGAUAAAUUUUCAAGGAAAUGGAGAAUUUUGCAAAGUUUUACACCACUGUUACAGACAGACUGUCUCUGUUGACCUUGUUUACUGCUUUCAACCAGCAACAACAUGAGAAACAAAGACUUACAUUGUGAUCACUGGAGAUCUUUUUGACUUUAAAACUGAAACAAAUACACAGUUGGAACCAUCAAGAAGUACAUUUGAGCUCUGGCCGUCAAGUCUCUGGUGAAACAGAAAAUGGCCCUCAACAAGGCAAAAGACAUCUUCAUGUAGAGAGGCUGGUGCAUGGACUUCUUUACAACUAGAGCAACAAACAAAGCUUGGCCUGCAACCGUUGACCAGAAGAGCCCUGUUGCCCUUUCAGCUGUGCCUUAAGAGACACGUUUCAACAAGAAAUCUCUAAUCACAGUUCAGGCCCUUUCACAUGACUGAAUGAAGCCAAAGGUUCGGCCUCUGGGUCGAUGGACUGUAUAUACUGUAUGCGCUGACCUUUUGUCUGAAUGUAUGAUCACUAAACAUAUCAAACAAAGA